CGGUGAUCUGAUAAGGCCUGUGAAAUCUCACGGUCUAAAGCCCAUAAUCAAUUAGUUCGGGAAUUAACCAGGCAAGACGACGACCCACGGUCGCUCUUUCCGAUCUCCGCCUCUUUUGUCUCUACGCCCUCACUGGUGGAUGGAAAGCGCCACCGCGCACCCCUGCAAGCGGCGGUCAGUGUCCUCUUCGACCUACAUUCUCUCCUUCUCUCUCUCUUCAAUCUCCGUACUCUUCUUACUCUCUAUCAACUCCUUCCUUCACUGCGCUGAUCAAACGCAUACUGGAUUCUCUCUCUCAGAAACUUCAUAGGUUUUCACCCGGUUUAAAGAUUAGGAACCCCUAGCUGCCUUGGCUCGGAUUGAAAAAGGAUUUUGAGAGCAAAGGUAGCAGGAUCCCGAAGUGAUUCACGAGGAAGAAUCUGUAACAUAUACCUAAUCAGGAGUGUGAAAUCUUGGGAGGAGGAUGAAAUCAACAUGUUGAUUGAUUGGUGUUUCAAGUUUCUCCUUGAAUGGAACUUCCAAGAGUUACCUUUGGAGGAAUGAUCUUGAGCAAUUCGAACACAUG